GCAGCUGGAGAGGUGGCCAGGGAGGCAGUUGGAGAGGUGGCCAGGAAGGCAGUUGGAGAGAUGGCCUGGAAGGCAGUUGGAGAGGUGGCCUGGAAGGCAGUUGGAGAGAUGGCCUGGAAGUCAGCUGGAGAGGUGGCCUGGAAGGCAGUUGGAGAGGUGGCCUGGAAAGCAGUUGGAGAGGUGGCCUGGGAGGCAGUUGGAGAGGUGGCCUGGAAGGCAGCUGGAGUGGUGGUCUUGAUAGCUGUGGGCACAAUGGCCUGAGCGGUGUCUGUAGAGGUGACCUGGGAGGCAGCUGACAAGACCAGUGUGUCAGCUGGAGCAGGGGUCAUGGUCUUUCCGGGCUUCAUCCUCAAACAGUCAUCACUGGCUGAGUUCACCAUUUUCUUCAAUGG
rnacentral:lncRNA from 1 species